AGCAGUGGGGAAUAUUGGACAAUGGGCGAAAGCCUGAUCCAGCCAUGCCGCGUGUGUGAAGAAGGUCUUCGGAUUGUAAAGCACUUUAAGUUGGGAGGAAGGGCAUUAACCUAAUACGUUAGUGUUUUGACGUUACCGACAGAAUGAGCACCGGCUAACUCUGUGCCAGCAGCCGCGGUAAUACAGAGGGUGCAAGCGUUAAUCGGAAUUACUGGGCGUAAAGCGCGCGUAGGUGGUUUGUUAAGUUGGAUGUGAAAUCCCCGGGCUCAACCUGGGAACUGCAUUCAAAACUGACUGACUAGAGUAUGGUAGAGGGUGGUGGAAUUUCCUGUGUAGCGGUGAAAUGCGUAGAUAUAGGAAGGAACACCAGUGACGAAAGCGACCACCUGGACUAAUACUGACACUGAGG
rnacentral:rRNA from 1 species